rnacentral:rRNA from 1 species
GAUGAACGCUAGCGGCAGGCCUAACACAUGCAAGUCGAACGGUAACAGGGAUUGCUUGCAAUCCGCUGACGAGUGGCGCACGGGUGCGUAACGCGUAUAGAACCUACCCUUUACAGGGGGAUAGCCCGGAGAAAUUCGGAUUAAUACCCCAUGGUAAUGCUUCGGGGCAUCCUGAAGUGUUUAAAGUUUCGGCGGUAAAGGAUGGCUAUGCGUCUUAUUAGUUAGUAGGUGAGGUAACGGCUCACCUAGACAGCGAUAAGUAGGGGCCCUGAGAGGGGGAUCCCCACACUGGUACUGAGACACGGACCAGACUCCUACGGGAGGCAGCAGUGAGGAAUAUUGGACAAUGGUCGAGAGACUGAUCCAGCCAUGCCGCGUGCAGGAAGACGGCCCUAUGGGUUGUAAACUGCUUUUUUUACGGGAAGAAUAAUGCCCACGUGUGGGCAGAUGACGGUACCGUAGGAAUAAGGACCGGCUAACUCCGUG